UUAAGACCUAGUCCAGAUGUAACUGCAACAGGGACUGGAGGAAGAUCAAGGAGCCAAGAGAGAGGUUACAAUGUUGGUGCAACUGUGUAUGUGGUGGUGCCAGUCACUGGACCAGGAUGAAAGGAGUAGAACCAAACUCACAGAAGAAGGUGAAAUUUCAUAAGGCAAAGAGGGCCUCAGAAAACCAAAACAGGUGCAGGAUCUUCAUCAUCUAGAAGAAAAUCAACUAAAGCUCAAUAUCCCAACUGGACUAGGUGCAUAGCAAAGCUGAUACCUGGGACAGGCUGUGUCUUACUGCAUUCUGAACAUCUGAUACAAAAUUGAUAACAAAUGUUUGUUGGAUAGAAGGUAUACCCUAAUAAAUUCAAUCUGAUAUAAUGUAUCAAAUUAGGAAGGCAAUAGCCAGGGGCAGUGUAUUAGUUUCCUAUGAUUGUUGUAAUAAAUUCCCAUGAACAAAAAAGUGGCUUGCAAAUGUCACAAAUUUAAGGCUUGUUUUCCUUCUG